AUUGAACGCUGGCGGCAGGCCUAACACAUGCAAGUCGAACGAGAGGCGGACGGGGGAGUAAUGUCUGGGAAACUGCCCGAUGGAGGGGGAUAACAACUGGAAACGGUAGCUAAUACCGCAUACCCUCGGAUGUGCCCAGAUGGGAAUAGCGAGUAGGGGGGGUAACGGCUCACCUCGGCGAAGAUCCCCAGCUGGUCUGAGAGGAUGACCAGCCACACUGGAACUGAGACACGGUCCAGACUCCUACGGGAGGCAGCAGGGGGGAAUAUUGCACAAUGGGCGCAAGCCUGAUGCAGCCAUGCCGCGUGUAUGAAGAAGGCCUUCGGGUUGUAAAGUACUUUCAGCGAGGAGGCGUUACUCGCAGAAGAAGCACCGGCUAACUCCGUGCCAGCAGCCGCGGUAAUAC
rnacentral:rRNA from 1 species